UCCUUAGAUGUUCUGGGCCGCACACGCGCUACAAUGAAGGAGGCAGCGUGUACUCCUGGAUCGAAAGAUUUGGGUAACCCGCGAAUCUCCUUCGUGCUAGGGAUUGAGGUUUGCAAUUAUCCUUCAUGAACGAGGAAUUCCCAGUAAGUGCAAGUCAUAAGCUUGCGCUGACUACGUCCCUGCCCUUUGUACACACCGCCCGUCGCUACUACCGAUUGAAUGAUUUAGUGAGGACUUCGGACUGGGACCGAUGCGGCUUUCGGGCUGCGUCGGUAUUCUGGAAAGAUGUCCAAACUGUAUCAUUUAGAGGAAGUAAAANUCGUANCA
rnacentral:rRNA from 1 species